rnacentral:rRNA from 1 species
UAAUGCAGCUGUACUACCUCAAGCUAUACUUUACUCAUAUUUUAUAAGCUAAGCAGGGAGAGGCAGGGUCAUUACUUGGAUGGGCAUCCUCUAAGGAAAACCCGAGGGCUGCAGGAA